ACGAACGCUGGCGGCGUGCUUAACACAUGCCAGUCGAACGGAAAGGCCCCUUUGGGGGUACUCGAGUGGCGAACGGGUGAGUAACACGUGAGUAACCUGCCCUUGACUUCGGGAUAACUUCAGGAAACUGGGGCUAAUACCGGAUAGGAAUCCUUGCCGCAUGGUGGGGGUUGGAAAGCUUCGGCGGUUUUGGAUGGACUCGCGGCUUAUCAGCUUGUUGGUGGGGUAGUGGCUUACCAAGGCUUUGACGGGUAGCCGGCCAGGGAGGGCGACCGGCCACAUUGGGACUGAGAGACGGCACAGACGCCGACGGGAGGCAGCAGUGGGGAAUAUUGCACAAUGGGCGGAAGCCGGAUGCAGCAACGCCGCGUGCGGGAUGACGGCCUUCGGGUUGAAAACCGCUUUCAGCAGGGGCGAAGCUUGUGGUGACGGUACCUGCAGAAGAAGCACCGGCUAACUACGUG
rnacentral:rRNA from 1 species